rnacentral:rRNA from 1 species
GACGAACCGAGCGAACGUUGUUCGGAAUCACUGGGCUUAAAGGGCGCGUAGGCGGGCUGCCAAGUCUGGGGUGAAAUCCCGCGGCUUAACCGCGGAACUGCCUCAGAUACUGGCGGCCUCGAGGGAGAUAGGGGCGAGCGGAACUAAUGGUGGAGCGGUGAAAUGCGUUGAUAUCAUUAGGAACUCCGGUGGCGAAGGCGGCUCGCUGGAUCUUUUCUGACGCUGAGGCGCGAAAGCUAGGGGAGCAAACGGG